AGCGAACGCUGGCGGCAGGCCUAACACAUGCAAGUCGAACGGAUCCUUCGGGAUUAGUGGCGGACGGGUGAGUAACACGUGGGAACGUGCCCUUUGGUUCGGAACAACUCAGGGAAACUUGAGCUAAUACCGGAUGUGCCCUUCGGGGGAAAGAUUUAUCGGCAUUGGAGCGGCCCGCGUCUGAUUAGCUAGUUGGUGAGGUAAAGGCUCACCAAGGCGACGAUCAGUAGCUGGUCUGAGGGGAUGAUCAGCCACAUUGGGACUGAGACACGGCCCAAACUCCUACGGGAGGCAGCAGUGGGGAAUCUUGCGCAAUGGGAGAAAGCCUGACGCAGCCCUGCCGCGUGAAUGAUGAAGGUCUUAGGAUUGUAAAAUUCUUUCACCGGGGACGAUAAUGACGGUACCCGGAGAAGAAGCCCCGGCUAACUUCGUGCCAGCAGCCGCAGUAAAAC
rnacentral:rRNA from 1 species